UACGUAGGUGACCAGCGUUGUCCGGAUUUACUGGGCGUAAAGAGCGCGCAGGCGGUCGUUCAAGUCGAGUGUGAAAGCCCCCGGCUCAACUGGGGAGGGUCACUCGAUACUGAUCGACUCGAAGGCAGGAGAGGGAAGCGGAAUUCCCGGUGUAGUGGUGAAAUGCGUAGAUAUCGGGAGGAACACCAGUGGCGAAGGCGGCUUCCUGGCCCUGGUUCUUGAACGCUG
rnacentral:rRNA from 1 species